AGUCUGCAGCAACAUAUGUCAACUGGAAAGAUACAAACAUCAAUAUUACUGACACACCAGAAUGGGAGCAAAUCCAACCAGAGUUUUAAGUCAAAUUAGAGCAAAGUUACAAAACACAGGCAGCCUUCACCCAGUUGCCAAUUGGUUUGGAAUCUGAGUAAAAGUAGUCAUUGACCUUGUGCGAUGGAAGGCUUAUUACUUUGAG